UGCAGUCGAACGAUGAAGCCGGGUAGACUUGCUUUGGUGGAUUAGUGGCGAACGGGUGAGUAACACGUGAGCAACCUGCCCUGGACUCUGGGAUAAGCGCUGGAAACGGCGUCUAAUACUGGAUACGAGACGUGGCCGCAUGGUCAACGUUUGGAAAGAUUUUUCGGUCUGGGAUGGGCUCGCGGCCUAUCAGCUUGUUGGUGAGGUAAUGGCUCACCAAGGCGUCGACGGGUAGCCGGCCUGAGAGGGUGACCGGCCACACUGGGACUGAGACACGGCCCAGACUCCUACGGGAGGCAGCAGUGGGGAAUAUUGCACAAUGGGCGGAAGCCUGAUGCAGCAACGCCGCGUGAGGGAUGACGGCCUUCGGGUUGUAAACCUCUUUUAGCAGGGAAGAAGCGUGAGUGACGGUACCUGCAGAAAAAGCGCCGGCUAACUACGUGCCAGCAGCCGCGGUAAUACGUAGGGCGCAAGCGUUAUCCGGAAUUAUUGGGCGUAAAGAGCUCGUAGGCGGUUUGUCGCGUCUGCUGUGAAAUCCCGAGGCUCAACCUCGGGCCUGCAGUGGGUACGGGCAGACUAGAGUGCGGUAGGGGAGAUUGGAAUUCCUGGUGUAGCGGUGGAAUGCGCAGAUAUCAGGAGGAACACCGAUGGCGAAGGCAGAUCUCUGGGCCGUAACUGACGCUGAGGAGCGAAAGGGUGGGGAGCAAACAGGCUUAGAUACCCUGGUAGUCCACCCCGUAAACGUUGGGAACUAGUUGUGGGGUCCUUUCCACGGAUUCCGUGACGCAGCUAACGCAUUAAGUUCCCCGCCUGGGGAGUACGGCCGCAAGGCUAAAACUCAAAGGAAUUGACGGGGACCCGCACAAGCGGCGGAGCAUGCGGAUUAAUUCGAUGCAACGCGAAGAACCUUACCAAGGCUUGACAUACACGAGAACGGGCCAGAAAUGGUCAACUCUUUGGACACUCGUGAACAGGUGGUGCAUGGUUGUCGUCAGCUCGUGUCGUGAGAUGUUGGGUUAAGUCCCGCAACGAGCGCAACCCUCGUCUAUUUGCCACACGUUAUGGUGGGACUCAGGGAUACUGCCGGGUCACUCGAAGAAGGUGGGAUGACGUCAAUCAUCUGCCCCUUAGUCUGGGCUCCCGCAGCUACAUGGCGGUACAAGGCUGCAUACCUUAGGUGACGAUCCAAAACCGGUCCAUUCGAUGAGUUGCACUCACUCUGAAUCGAAUCCUGUAUCCAAU
rnacentral:rRNA from 1 species